UCGGGAUAGCUCAGCUG
rnacentral:tRNA from 25 species